UACGUAGGGGGCAAGCGUUUGUCCGGAUUUAUUGGGCGUAAAGAGCUCGUAGGCGGUUAGUCGCGUCGGGAGUGAAAACUCAGGGCUCAACCCUGAGCGUGCUUCCGAUACGGGCUGACUAGAGGUAUGCAGGGGAGAACGGAAUUCCUGGUGUAGCGGUGGAAUGCGCAGAUAUCAGGAGGAACACCGGUGGCGAAGGCGGCUCUCUGGGCCUUACCUGACGCUGAGGAGCGAAAGCAUGGGGAGCGAACAGG
rnacentral:rRNA from 1 species